rnacentral:misc_RNA from 1 species
GAAAUGCGAUAAGUAAUGUGAAUUGCAGAAUUCAGUGAAUCAUCGAAUCUUUGAACGCACAUUGCGCCCCCUGGUAUUCCGGGGGGCAUGCCUGUUCGAGCGUCAUUUCACCACUCAAGCCUCGCUUGGUAUUGGGCAACGCGGUCCGCCGCGUGCCUCAAAUCGACCGGCUGGGUCUUCUGUCCCCUAAGCGUUGUGGAAACUAUUCGCUAAAGGGUGCUCGGGAGGCUACGCCGUAAAACAAACCCAUUUCUAAGGUUGACCUCGGAUCAGGUAGGGAUACCCGCUGAACUUAAG